AGAUCAAACCCAUGGAGCAUGAAGUGAUUCUGGGAAUUGUAAAUGAACAUCAUCACUGGACAUUAGUGGUCAUUUACCCACAAGAAAAGAAGUCGCUGUAUCUUGAUCCACUCGGAGAAACUAAACAAGGUAUCCAAAAUUGUUUGGAAUCAACAAGGGCAUUCAUGCGAAAAAAAGGAUGCAACG